CAACCUCUUGCCAAGAUUCUCUUUACAGAAACGGGAAUCACGACUCUGUCCCUGGAUUCUGGACGGGAUGGUGGAUGCGCAUAAAAAAGUGAAAAGUUAACGUGAUUGUUUAUCAUGUAGAUAAGCGAGGUACGGAUUACACAACCAGUAUUUUUCAGUGACAUGUUCCAUCUGCAACUGUUCCAAGCUCGUACCUGUUCCAAGUAUCUGUGAUUUUUUGGCCCAUGAUAAAUAUUGGUUUGUAGCUGAAACCGGGCUGAAGCGUACUUUGAGCCCAGUCGACUUUAAAAGGCCUGUUUCUGGCACCAAAAAUAUGAAGAAGCACUGCUAUUGGUCGAAAAUGAAUAAGUUUCAAGGACAAGGAACAGCUCAGAAAUCCGAAAAAACCGUCAGUCAGUCACAGCCUGUAACUCACAGGCCUGGUCACAUUAAAUAAAAUAUCGGAGACGGCUGUUACUGCUGUUCCCGAUAUUUUCGGUUCAUUGUAUAUUGCUAUUUACCGAAUCAUGGGUGCAUGGGUUCGAGAAUCAGCAGGUCCCACGUCCCACUUCCAUACAUACAAAACCUUAGCACUUCAUGAGAACACAAUAUCUUCUUUCACUAAAUCUCAGGCCAAUUGAGAACGACAACGCCGUGGAAAAUCAAAAGGUGCAAAGGCAGGUAUUUACCUUUUUGCUUUGUUGAAAUAUCGAAGUCCGAGUUGUACUGGUACUGAACAGCAUCGUACGCGAGCCCUGUUAUUUCAAAUCACAUGUUAUUUUAAAUUUCGAUAACAGGUACCGACUGUUCCAUACCGAUAUCUGUUCCAAAAUACCUGUGACAAGUAUUUCGUGGCAUCCCUAAUGCCAGGUACUUACUAGGGAUAGUACCAUCCACAGAACAUACCCCCAUUUAUUUUAUUUAUACAUUUUUUUGUUGGGGGAUAUUUUGUGGUACCCUUUGUAAUGGUGUCUUUCCUUUGUUUAUUAUCGGCCCAGAAGCCAAGCGUACAACAAGCCACAAACACCACAAAGGAAACAACAAAAAAAGGUGUUAGUCACGGGACGCUCAACAGAAGUGAUAACUUCAUAUUAUUUAUGGAAACCAUAAAAUAUUGAACUUAUUUAACGCAUGAUUGCAAUGUUGUUGUUAGUCUAAGAAUUUAUAAAGGGAUCAGGAAUAGUGUGCAUUCGAGAGACCUGCGUAGCUACUUGUCUUUAUCUAUCCAGACAUAACGACGCCGUAACGCAUUUCAAUCGAUUCACAGCGCGACAUAAGAAGUUAUCACUUAAAAAAAAUAAAAGGAAAACCACUGCAAUUACCAUCGAGCCACUCGGUUGGCUCGAGUUUUUUUUUAGUGUCGCGGCGUCAAACGUUUUCUUUGGGUCUAGGAGCAGGAAAAAAAGAAUUUUUGUUUUUGAACUAGGCGUCACUAAAAUAACCGCUUGGCGUGGCACCAUGGGGACCUGAUCACACUCGUAUCGGAUCAGUGUGCACUUUCUUCGGGACCGCAGAACAUCCCCUCUAUGGGGGAUGUUCUCUGUUCGUACCCUGACACGCUAUUAUUUUAUGGAUGAAUACGAGAGAUGUUCAGGGCGGUCAAAAAAUGAUCGAAGAGUCCAGGAAAUUAAGGCUGGUGGGCAACUCGAUUGUUUCAUCAAAAUAUGAGUCUUACUUAAGAACAAAUUCACAGUCAGUUUCACUUAAAUACAUCGCAUCAUUCUCCCGAUAUUUCAAAAACGAUAAUUUUUCUGAAGAACUUUGACGAUCAACAGCAGAGGAGCCAGACAUUUUGUGUUAAUAAAAGUAAGGUCAGAUCGUUUUCUUUCGAUGCAAAGAAUAUCCCAGUAUCCUUUUGAUCAUGUGCUUACUGGACACCCUGUAUAUAUACCGAUCUCGAUGUAUUGUACAGUACUAAUCGCGAUAAUUCUGACUUGGAAUUAGGUUUGAACAUACCACAAAGGUACGUUUAAGAAAACAUCAACAAGCGUGCAAUUCAAAUCAUAAUUGUAUAUUUUCAGGUAUAUUCGAGAUAGGGAAAAUACCAUAGAGAAAUGUACUGAAACCGAUUUCAGAAAACGAUUUCGUUUCCCAAAGGAAAUUGUGCAAAAUGUAUUGUUGCUAUUGAUCAAUCAGCAGGAACAAAUCACAAAUCGAGGCAUUCCUGUUCUUUUGAUAAUAUAUAUUUUUAAGGAAUCUUCUUGUCAGGUUCUACUUGGUGGAAAAAAAUCAAGCUUGUAUGUAUCAUGUGUUAUUCAAAUAAUAAUAAUAAAAAACAAAGUUA